GGAAGGGUGUCGCGGCCCGGUGGUCCGGUCAGACUUCAAAUCUGAUAGGGGUUGCCAGCAAUCCCUGGUGGGUUCGACUCCCAUACCCUUCCGCCA
rnacentral:tRNA from 1 species